rnacentral:rRNA from 1 species
GACGAACGCUGGCGGCGUGCUUAACACAUGCAAGUCGAACGGAAAGGCCCUGCUUUUGUUGGGUGCUCGAGUGGCGAACGGGUGUGUAACACGUGAGUAACCUGCCCUUGACUUUGUGAUAACUUCAGGAAACUGGGGCGAAUACCGGAUAGGAGCUCCUGCUGCAUGGUGGUGGUUGGAAAGUUUCGGCGGUUGGGGAUGGUCUCGCUGCUUAUCAGCCUGUUGGUGGGGUAGUGGCUUACCAAGGCUUUGACGGGUAGCCGGCCUGAGAGGGUGACCGGCCACAUUGGGACUGAGAUACGGCCCAGACUCCUACGGGAGGCAGCAGUGGGGAAUAUUGCACAAUGGGCGGAAGCCUGAUGCAGCAACGCCGCGUGCGGGAUGACGGCCUUCGGGUUGUAAACCGCUUUCGCCUGUGACGAAGCGUGAGUGACGGUAAUGGGUAAAGAAGCACCGGCUAACUACGUG